CCUACGGGUGGCAGCAGUGAGGAAUAUUUGUCAAUGGGCUUACGCCUGAACCAGCCAAGUCGCGUGAGGGAAGACUGCCCUAUGGGUUGUAAACCUCUUUUGUCAGGGAGCAACGCCGGCUACGUGUAGCCGGACUGAGAGUACCUGAAGAAAAAGCAUCGGCUAACUCCGUACCAGCAGCCGCGGUAAUACGGGGGAUGCUAGCGGUAUCCGGAUUGAUUGGGUUUAAAGGGUGCGUAGGUGGAAUGCCAAGUCAGCGGUAAAAUCGCGGGGCUCAACCUCGCUCCGCAGUUGAAACUGGCGUACUUGAGUGGGCGAGAGGGAUGCGGAAUGAGCGGUGUAGCGGUGAAAUGCAUAGAUAUCACGAAGAACACCGAUUGCGAAGGCAGCAUACCGGCGCCCAACUGACGCUGAAGCACGAAAGCGUGGGUAUCGAACAGGAGUAGAUACCCGAGUAGUC
rnacentral:rRNA from 1 species